AGUUAGUAAGUGUACCUGCUGUAAAUAUGGACGAACAGUUAUAUGUAGGCUUUAGGUGGGCAAUCAAUGAAUAGAUUUCUCAUAAAGGACCUACAGACAUUG